rnacentral:lncRNA from 1 species
GAAAGAGCAAAGCUCAACCCCCGUAAAAACACAACUAGUAAACACACACACACACACACACACACACACACACACAUACACACACGCACGCACGCACACACACACACACACACACACACACACUUAAAGAUUCUAAAGGGAAUCAACAGAAGAGACAAAGCAGCAGUGUUUAAAGCGAGGAGUACCAGAACAAGGAGUCAUAGGCAUUGAUGGCAACGUCUUAGACAUCUCCUUCUUAUAUAUGUAUAUCAUUAUGAUCUCAUGGUUGGACAAGGUGUGAAAGAGAUAAGAUGAUUAACAUUUCAGAGACUGUGCAAGGUUCUCUACGGUCUACAAGGCAGACCACGAAGAGACGUUGAGAUUUACUAAGCAGAAAGCGAGAGGAGGAGGGUAGGAGCCCAGCCCAGUUGUGGGAAGAAGAAUAAUAAUUAAGAAGCAAGGGUAUAAGGAAGCACAUUACCAUAAUACAUUAACAAAUACAAGGUGGCGAAAAAGACAUAGUUUCAAGAUAACCAAACCCUUGGGCCACUUUUAGUACAAGAUCAUUAGGCUUCCGAUAGCUUUUUUUUUUUUGGUCUUUGAGCUGAAGCUCAACCUUGCAGGUGUGUAUAGGUGAGUACUCUCAGAGAUACAGUCAGGGUGGUUCCUCCGAGGUGACAGUUAGACGGGUACUACCAUACAGGCUAUACACGGCUCUAUGUAAUAUUAUUAUAUUAGUAUUUGUAUUGCCUUAUAAAUAUUACUGUUAAAUUUGUUUUCAUUAUUAUUAUUAUUAUUAUUAUUAUUAUUAUUAUUUUCAGUGUAAUUGUAAUUGAAGAUCCAAUCCAUGAAGAAGGUUUUAAAGGUGUUUAUAAGACAAACGUGAACAUCCUCAGCUUAUAGCGAUGAGACCCGCCUCAGAAUGUAUAUAUCUAUACAACAGUUACACCACACUGUAACUAAUACAGUUUCCAGCCUCUUGUAUUGCCUUAAGUCUACCUUGUGUAUAUUUCCCCACACGUAUUUUAUGGUUAUAAAUUACCUCGUCAGUAUUCCUGUGUGUGUAUGUUUCAUAAUGGUUUAUUAUACGUGUUCUCGAUGUGUAUAUUUACCUUACUUACGGCUUGCAAUAUCUUCUGUAUAUGUAUAUUUACGAUUCCUAUGGCUUACAGUCAGUUGUGUAUAUGUAUAGUUAUAAUGUUUAUGGCUUAUAAUAUUUUUGGUAAAUGUAUAUUUACGAUACUUAUGGUUUGCACUAUCGUCUGUAUAUGUAUAUAUAUUUACAAGACUUUAUGUACAUGUAUAUCUGCUAUACACAGAAUAUAUACAAGAGUGAGCUUUUAUCUAUAGUAACUUGACUACUAGUUAACGAGUCAUCUCUGUAUGGCGAUAAUGUAUUAGUAUGAGCUUUCCUCUCACACAGUACUGAUGUUAUCCUAAUGCUAACAAGUUUGUCCAACCAUUUGGACUGGUCGGGAGAGCGAGAGCUUCGCAUCUUGCAGGGUCGGAGUUCGAUUCCCAAUGGUCCAGGUGGACGAAAUUUCUGAAACUGAGGGAUUUGACCGAGGUUGACCUUCGAGGUCAACCCCGGAACUCACAGUUCCUGCGACGGCGCUGGAACCAAUCGUAUUGGCGUAUGCCUUUCCAUUGGAGACUUUCAGCGCCGUGGAGAGGGGGGACCUGCUGCAUGGGUAACAGCUUCUCCCCCGAAUCAUCCUACCCAGGCUUUGCGCCCUGGAGAGGCCACUCCAGACCGACAACCAGAGCGCAACUCCAUAGUCUCCUGAGACUGAUGGAUGCUUACUAUCUGACCUCAGAGGUACGAUUUUUUUCUACAAACUUUCUAGAGUUUUCUUACUAUUACGAAGCCUUAGGUUGAAGCCUCAGAAUUUUGUAUAUAUUUAUGAGAACAAACACAAUUAGUGUGUCGUAUGUCUUUUUUUACGAAUUGGCUUUCUAUAGAGAUUAAAAACAAUUUGUAAUGUGCAAUUAGCUGUGGCAGGUCACAGGUAUUCUUGAAAGUCAUUAAAUGUAAUUUAUUUGGCACUUACUUGCCACAAAUUUCAGUUGUUAAACUGUCUAUGUUUUCCUUGUUAGCGUUGCCAAGAUUUGUUAUGUAAUUUGCUCUCUUUUGGAUGUGUUGAGCGGAAGACAUCACCACACUAGAGUGAGUUUGUUGGUGAGUUGAGGAAGGAGAGUUGUGGUGUGUGUGUGGUAUACACCUGACCAACCACACACCUGCUGUCUUGAGUGGUGUGUGUGGGGUAUACACCUGGCCACCCACACACCUGCUGUCUUGUGUGGGGUAUACACCUGGCCAACCACACACCUGCUGUCUUGUGUGGUGUGUGUGGUAUACACCUGGCCAACCACACACCUGAUGUCUUGUGUGGUGUGUGUGGGGUAUACACCUGGCCACCCACACACCUGCUGUCUUUGUAGUAGCUGUACAAGUAUUACUAUCAUCAUUAUUAUUAUAGUUAAUAUUGAGAAAAUCAUUAGGAGUCAUCCGGGGGAUUCGAACCUGCACGCACUGGGUACUAUCCCAAGACCACGCCUUGGACCACUACACCACAUGACACUGAGUUAAACCCUUGAUUAGCCUUCAUUGGAAGUCUAAUCAGGCUUCCAAUCAGGUGGUUGUCAAGGUGGACCAGCUGGGGUGGUUGUCAAGGUGGACCAGCUGGGUGGUUGUCAAGGUGGACCAGCUGGGGUGGUUGUCAAGGUGGACCAGCUGGGUGGUUGUCAAGGUGGACCAGCUGGGGUGGUUGUCAAGGUGGACCAGCUGGGUGGUUGUCAAGGUGGACCAGCUGGGUGGUUGUCAAGGUGGACCAGCUGGGGUGGUUGUCAAGGUGGACCAGCUGGGUGGUUGUCAAGGUGGACCAGCUGGGUUGUUGUCAAGGUAGACUAGCUGGGUGGUUGUCAAGGCGUGCCAGCUGGGUGGUUGUCAAGGUGGACCAGCUGCGUGCCAACAUCUGAUGUACAUUCCACUCACUCACACACUUGGAUAAAAUGCGUUUAGUACCGUACUUGUGUUCCAAACCUGUUGUUAUUCUGUUGACGUGUGUGUGUUUGUGUUAGUAUGCAGGUGUGUAUGUGUGUAUGAGUAUGUAUAUGUGCACCUACGACUCAUCUGAAGACCAUUAACUUAUACUCUACAAUAUUAUUAUUAUUAUACUUUUAGCAUGUUCUAUUAUGCACUCCAAUCAUUCUUAAGUAGAACAAUUCUCUCUCAUAGGCUAGAGAGUUUAUGAUCAACAUUUAUAAUCUUAUAUUGACUACCAUGCUGUAUUAAUUAAUAAAUAUUUGAAUCUCA